rnacentral:rRNA from 1 species
GACGAACGCUGGCGGCGUGCUUAACACAUGCAAGUCGAACGGAAAGGCCCUGCUUUUGUGGGGUGCUCGAGUGGCGAACGGGUGAGUAACACGUGAGUAACCUGCCCUUGACUUUGGGAUAACUUCAGGAAACUGGGGCUAAUACCGGAUAGGAGCCCCUGCUGCAUGGUGGGGGUUGAAAAGUUUCGGCGGUUGGGGAUGGACUCGCGGCUUAUCAGCUUGUUGGUGGGGUAGUGGCUUACCAAGGCUUUGACGGGUAGCCGGCCUGAGAGGGUGACCGGCCACAUUGGGACUGAGAUACGGCCCAGACUCCUACGGGAGGCAGCAGUGGGGAAUAUUGCACAAUGGGCGGAAGCCUGAUGCAGCAACGCCGCGUGCGGGAUGACGGCCUUCGGGUUGUAAACCGCUUUCGCCAGUGACGAAGCGUGAGUGACGGUAAUGGGUAAAGAAGCACCGGCUAACUACGUG